CGCACGGGUGAGUAACGCGUAUCCAACCUGCCUCUGACUGAGGGAUAACCCGUCGAAAGUCGGCCUAAUACCUCAUGGCAUCGUCUGCGGGCAUCCAAUGACGAUUAAAGAUUUCAUCGGUCAGGGAUGGGGAUGCGUCUGAUUAGCUAGUUGGCGGGGUAACGGCCCACCAAGGCUACGAUCAGUAGGGGUUCUGAGAGGAAGGUCCCCCACAUUGGAACUGAGACACGGUCCAAACUCCUACGGGAGGCAGCAGCU
rnacentral:rRNA from 1 species